rnacentral:rRNA from 1 species
UGAAUUGCAGAAUUCAGUGAAUCAUCGAAUCUUUGAACGCACAUUGCGCCCGCCAGUAUUCUGGCGGGCAUGCCUGUUCGAGCGUCAUUUCAACCCUCAAGUCCCCUGUGGACUCGGUGUUGGGGACCGGCGAGACAGCCGCGGAUCUUCUUCCGCAGCGAGUCGCCGCCCCCCAAAUGACUUGGCGGCCUCGUCGCGGCCCUCCUCUGCGUAGUAUAGCACACCUCGCAACAGGAGCCCGGCGAAUGGCCACUGCCGUAAAACCCCCCAACUUUUUCAGAGUUGACCUCGAAUCAGGUAGGAAUACCCGCUGAACUUAAGCAUAUCAAUAAGCGGAGGAAAAGAAACCAACAGGGAUUGCCCCAGUAACGGCGAGUGAAGCGGCAACAGCUCAAAUUUGAAAUCUGGCCCCCAGGGUCCGAGUUGUAAUUUGCAGAGGAUGCUUUUGGCAAGGUGCCUUCCGAGUUCCCUGGAACGGGACGCCAUAGAGGGUGAGAGCCCCGUCUGGUUGGAUACCGAGCCUCUGUAAAGCUCCUUCGACGAGUCGAGUAGUUUGGGAAUGCUGCUCUAAAUGGGAGGUAUAUGUCUUCUAAAGCUAAAUAUUGGCCAGAGACCGAUAGCGCACAAGUAGAGUGAUCGAAAGAUGAAAAGCACUUUGAAAAGAGGGUUAAAUAGUACGUGAAAUUGUUGAAAGGGAAGCGCUCAUGACCAGACUUGGGCCCGGUGAAUCAUCCAGCGCUCGUCGCUGGUGCACUUUGCCGGGCUCAGGCCAGCAUCAGUUCGCUCCGGGGGACAAAGGCUCUGGGAAUGUGGCUCCUCCGGGAGUGUUAUAGCCCACUGCGCAAUACCCUGGGGCGGACUGAGGUUCGCGCAUUCGUGCAAGGAUGCUGGC